rnacentral:misc_RNA from 1 species
GGGGUCCAGAAUUCCGUGGCGAAUAGCCACUAAAGGAAGGUGCAUUCCGAGGUGCGUAUCUGCUGCGGCAAGUGACAGCUGUGUGAUUCCCUUUUCCACAGAUUUGGCAGGGACCCCGAGAUCGCUGCUGGUUGCUGUUCCGUGACCCAUUGUUGCCUCCAUUGCGUGGUCUGGGUGAAGAAUAGGAAGGAGGAAUAGUGGCGGAUUGAGUGGAACUCUUGAGAACCAUAUUAGCCUGUGGAUUAUGAAGACCUUGCACCAAAGAUUCAUGAGCGACUAAUUGCCCAUGCAACUCAUGAAAUGAGACAGGAUCAGAACGGAGAU